AAAGAGUGAACUAGCUAACUGAAAUCAUAGAAUUUCUUCAAAUUCAUGAUGUCGUAAGGGAAAAUAAUGAUAAUACCUUACUAUGAGUGUUGUCCAAACUUUGGUGCCAGAAGACUCGGUAAGACCAGAAACGCAAACGUUAAUCAUCUUCAACAGGCGUAAAGGGUAUGUAGGCAGCUUUCAAUCAGAAUAUAUUAAGCAAAUAAAGUAGUCUAAAUGAAAGCUAGAAUCAAAUAGAGGUUAAAGUGUAGAACGCCUAGAGGAGGUCUGAUAUCCGUAGAUCCUAGGUAGAAUACUCAGGGCGAAGGCCACUCUCCACUAAUGAUUGACGCUGAGAAACGAAGGUUAGGGUAGGAAAUAGGAUUAGAUACCCCGGUACUCCUUUCUGUAAACGAUGAAUGGUAGUCAUUAGUUCCUAAAUUAACUAGAGGCGAAGUUAACACAUUAACCAUUCCGCCUUGUGAGUACUACUGCAAAGUAGAAAACAAAAAAAUUAGUCGGUCUCGAAGCAAACGGAGUGAAGCAUGUUAUUUAAU
rnacentral:rRNA from 1 species